rnacentral:rRNA from 1 species
UUUUAUGAGAGUUUGAUCCUGGCUCAGGACGAACGCUGGCGGCGUGCCUAAUACAUGCAAGUCGAACGCUUCUUUUUCCACCGGAGCUUGCUCCACCGGAAAAAGAGGAGUGGCGAACGGGUGAGUAACACGUGGGUAACCUGCCCAUCAGAAGGGGAUAACACUUGGAAACAGGUGCUAAUACCGCAUAACAAUCAAAACCGCAUGGUUUUGAUUUGAAAGGCGCUUUCGAGUGUCGCUGAUGGAUGGACCCGCGGUGCAUUAGCUAGUUGGUGAGGUAACGGCUCACCAAGGCCACGAUGCAUAGCCGACCUGAGAGGGUGA